rnacentral:misc_RNA from 1 species
GCGCGCGUUUUCCCGAGUCCUCUCGCGUCCGUUCCGUGCGACGCUGUUCCGUCCGUCCCGUUCCAUCGCGCGCGUUCCCGUCACCACGGCAGUCCGUCGCCGGAACGCACACGCUCGGCCGUUCGCGACCCGUUCCCGGCACGGUUGUUGACGUGUACCUACGGACAAACUGCGAUCAUUCUUUCGUUUUUCUCGGCGCAUUCGCUGUCCGCUUUCGAACCUUCCUGGAGUUUUUUUUUUUUUUAGAGUUUAUCCAACUCUUGUACCGCGGUACGAUCUCGAAGCUUACCGCACAUCGGUGUACGGUCGAGGUCGACCGACGGCGAAAUUCGUGUUCGUGAUCCGUUCGUAUUUUUUAUUUUUUGAACUCUUAAGUAUUGCGUGCGAUACGUGUAUCGUGAUCGUGUCCAAGAGGACGGGUGCAAAACUAGACUCAAGCUUUUUAACGGAGAGUUUAGGUCUGAAAAAACCAAAACGAUUUACACACAACAUAUUAUCAGAACUUUAAACAUGAUGUUGAGAGCCUGAUGUCAUUAACUGAACAUUAUUAAUACUUCUCGUUUUCAGAUUUGAAUUUGGAAGGUGACGAUGACCGAUUACCAAUAUGGACUUUCUAACAUUCAGGACAAUCAUAUUUUACAGCAGAUCAUCGCGAAACGGAAAAAAAUGUGCGAAUCGCUCUUGGACGACCCGCUAAUGUCCGACAGUGAUGUUUGGUGCCCUAGAGAGUUUGAUGGUUGGUCGUGUGUUAAUCGAACCAAAGCUGGUGGAGUGGCCACAUUUCCGUGUCCUUAUUUUAUUUUGGGAUUCGAUUCAAAGCGUUUCGGUCAGAAAAUCUGUCUGCAGGAUGGCACGUGGUUCAAGCAUCCGGACAGCAACAAGACGUGGUCGAACUAUACGACUUGUGUCGAUUUGGACGAUUUAAAAUUGAGGAACCAGGUGAACAUGAUCUAUAAAUGGGGAUACACCGUGUCGUUGGCCGCGCUGGCUGUCUCGAUAUUCAUAUUCUUUUAUUUCAGGAGUCUUACUUGCACCAGGAUACAAAUACACAAAAACCUAUUCAUUUCAUUGGCCAUGAACAAUUGCCUGUGGCUAGUUUGGUACGAGGCAGUAGUGGACAAUUUACCAGUACUCAUGGCGAACGGGUUGGCCUGUAAACUUCUACACGUGCUGGUCCAAUACUUUCUGGUAGCUACGUAUUUUUGGAUGUUCUGCGAGGGACUGUACUUGCACACGUUACUAGUGGUAACUUUUCUCACCGAGUCCAAAGUAAUGCCAUUCUUGCACACGAUCGGUUGGGGCAUACCUGCGGUGUUGGUAUCUACGUACGCUGGACUUCGGACAAUUACAACUGGUGAAACUAUACAGUUAUUGUUGGAUACACGAAUCGCUGUACUCCUGGAUACUGUCGGGACCGGUGUGCGUGUCGAUGUUGGCCAACCUGGUGUUCCUGAUCAACAUUGUCAGACUGCUGUUGGUCAAACUGCAUGCCAGACAGAUCACCAUGGCCAGUCCGAAACACGUGGCGACCAGAGAACGGGCGCAGUCAUUCAGCCUCCGAAGCUUCAAAAGGAACAACAGCAGCGUGGACAGCUACGACAAGGCGCCCGCGUCAUCCAGCAGGACUGGCAAGGCGGUCCGGGCCACGCUCAUCCUGAUCCCUCUCCUCGGACUCCAGUACAUCGUCACGCCCUUUCGACCGGAGCCCGGCACGCCGUGGGAGCCCGUUUACCAGGUCACUUCAGCGGUGGUCGCCUCAUGCCAGGGCCUGUGCGUGGCGCUACUGUUUUGUUUCUGCAACGGAGAGGUAUGCCCGCAACCGAACACGGUAUUACGAUAACGAUUAUAAUAAUAAUAAUUAUUUUGGCGCACAGGUGCUGUCAGAGAUUAAGAAACGGUGGAAACACUGCAAGAUCAAUAAGAACCGGUCGUGGAACCCGUGCUUGAAAGUCACGUCCGUUUCGCCGCAACACCACCCCAGGCUGCUGGUGACCGAAGAUCAACAGACUCAGAGGACGGGAAGCAUACAAGUGUUGCCGCGAAAGGAUUCGGCCGAGUGCUUACAAAACGUUCAACUCUAGACGUGCAAAUGCGCGUUUUCAC